GGUUGCGUAGCUCAGUAGGUAGAGCACAUCCCUUUUAAGGAUGGGGUCCUGGGUUCGAAUCCCAGCGCAACCACC
rnacentral:tRNA from 1 species